ACUGUAAACGCUUUCUGAUG
rnacentral:ncRNA from 2 species